rnacentral:rRNA from 1 species
CCAUACGUACUUGACAUCCCCCUGACCGGCACGUAACGGUGUCAUUCCUUCGGGACAGGGGAGACAGGUGGUGCAUGGUUGUCGUCAGCUCGUGUCGUGAGAUGUUGGGUUAAGUCCCGCAACGAGCGCAACCCUUAUCCUCAGUAGCCAGCAGUAAGAUGGGCACUCUGUGGAGACUGCCAGGGAUAACCUGGAGGAAGGUGGGGAUGACGUCAAAUCAUCAUGCCCCUUAUGAUUUGGGCUACACACGUGCUACAAUGGCGUAAACAAAGGGAAGCGAAGCCGCGAGGCGGAGCAAAUCCCAAAAAUAACGUCUCAGUUCGGAUUGCAGGCUGCAACUCGCCUGCAUGAAGCUGGAAUCGCUAGUAAUCGCGGAUCAGAAUGCCGCGGUGAAUACGUUCCCGGGUCUUGUACACACCGA